rnacentral:rRNA from 1 species
GACGAACCGUGCGAACGUUGUUCGGAAUCACUGGGCUUAAAGGGCGCGUAGGCGGCUUGCCAAGUCGGGGGUGAAAUACUUCAGCUUAACUGGAGAAGUGCCUUCGAAACUGGCAGGCUUGAGGGAGGUAGGGGUCUGUGGAACUUCUGGUGGAGCGGUGAAAUGCGUUGAUAUCAGAAGGAACGCCGGUGGCGAAAGCGACGGACUGGACCUCUUCUGACGCUGAGGCGCGAAAGCUAGGGGAGCAAACGGG